rnacentral:rRNA from 1 species
AACGAACGCUGGCGGCAUGCCUAACACAUGCAAGUCGAACGAGACCUUCGGGUCUUUUGGCGUACGGGUGCGUAACGCGUGGGAACCUUCCCUUAUGUUUGGAAUAACUCCCCGACAGGGGUGCUAAUACCGGAUAAUGUCUUCGGCCCAAAGAUUUAUCGCCUUUGGAUGUGCCCUCGUUGGAUUAGCUAGUGGGUAGGGUAAUAGCCUACCAAGGCGACGAUCCAUAGAUGGUUUGAGAGGAUGAUCAGCCACACUGGGACUGAGACACGGCCCAGACUCCUACGGGAGGCAGCAGUGGGGGAUGGAGGACAAUGGGCGGAAGCAUGAUGCAGCAAGGACGGGUGAGUGAUGAAGGCCGUAGGGUUGUAAAGCGCAUUUAACCGGGAUGAUAAUGACAGUACCGGGAGAAUAAGCUCCGGCUAACUCCGUG